rnacentral:lncRNA from 1 species
GUUCGAAUAUGCCAGACUUAUUUUAGGUUAAUUUGACCGGAAAUGACUUCAAUUUGCGCACGACACAGAUUUAUUGUUUGUUGACACACCUUUGGACUAUCUUAUUUACAAUCGUAAAGUGUAAGUAAUACAAGCUAGAUACGUUUAUUGAGAGAUUACAAUCCCUUAUUUGACAUAUUUAUGUCUAGUGUGGCUUUUUGUUUUUUUCUUUAGCUAUCCAUUUUCACAUGUAAAAUGUUUGAAAGAGUUCGCAUGUUCGACAGAUACUCUUUGGUCUUCGAUUUCCAAAAAAUAAAUAACCUGUUAUCUCUAAAUAGUUUUAAACUUCCUUGUAAUAGAAAGUAGACGAUAGAAAGUUUCGAAAGUUUGCAUUAGGCCCUUUAUAGUGAAUAAAGCUCCCAAUGUAGUUUUUUGGAACCCAUGACUACCAUAGUAUUAUAUUUUGGAACCAAGUAAACUGUUAAAGACUAAUUUUUUUUCUCCAUAUUCUUAAUGAUAUUUUCGAUAGAAUAGUCAUUCUAUAUUUGUCAGGCAAAACAGAAGUUCCAAUACACCUUUGCUAAUUGUACGUCACAGAAAGGUGUAAUUUCUUUACAUUACCAAGAUCACAAAGGUUCCUGUAAAAUGUCCCCAGAAGAAUCCAGGUCCGUUUGCACCCAUUCAUGUUCGCACCCUAUCACAAUCGCCCCCUUUCACUUUCGCACCCUACACGUUCGCACCCAAUUUUUAUUGGUUUUGUGUAUUCCUAUAAGUAUAUUUGUUGUCAUAGUCCUAAAUUAAAGUGAGACAACGUGGUUUUUUUUUUUUUGUGUUGAAUAAAUCUUAAUCUUGUUUUGGUUAAGUGUCAGAUUGCUAACUUUUAUUUCAUUGUUUCAAAAUAAAGUGAAACUAUGACAACGUAUUGUUUGUGUUGAAUAAAUUUUAAUCAUGUGUUGGAUAGGGCAUUGCUAUGAUUUUUUGUUUCAUUGUUCAAAGGGGCCAAGCUGUUAAAAUCUUUUGUGUUUUUCAUUUAUAAUCUUCAAUGUUUUUACUCAUACCAAACUAAAUACAAUUUUAACAUCAAAUCAAUUAAAAACAACAAUCUUGAUUUUCUAAUUAGGCCAAAUAAAAAUAUAUGUGUGGUUCCAGUAACCCUAAUGUCCCCAUACAGCAUAGUCCAUAGAAAAUUCAUGACGCCACAUUGGCACAAUGGAAAAGUUAUUGUUUUAUGGCAGAUCCUCAGGUCCAGCUUCACUGAUAUUGAUUCUCAAAUAAUGUUAAAGUCUAUGAAAAUCUUGGUACUUAUAUUAUCUAGGAACUUCCAUUUCAUGACAACUUUAUGUAUACAUUGUACGUACAUUGCUGGAAAACAUACAAACUUGGACACCUCUGAAUCUGAGUAUUACUAUGUGUUUCUUUAUUCUACAUUGGUUAGAGGUAUACAUUGUUAUAGGUUGAGGGUUGAGAUCUAACAAAACAUGGUAAACCCCAUCACGCUUUUGUGCCUAUCCCAAGUCAGGAGCUGCUGCCUCCUGGUCUUUGUUAGCCUCAUAUGACCAGUGGCCAAAGUUGCAGACUGUCUUCGUUUGAUCUACAUUGUAGUAUGGUAGUUAGUUAUUUCAUUUAUAAAACAUCAAAAACUACCUGAAAACAAUAUAUACCAUAUUUAUUUAUGUGACACCCAAUCAAACUUAAUUAAUAAAAUCAUUGAGAAAACCUAAUUACAUUGUACAUACUUGUAUGUGCAGAUUUUUCUUAAUGAUACAGGGUUCUCGCUAAGGAUUUUUGAAGGCGAGUCCAGGGACUCGUCAUUUUUAGCCAUGAUGAGUCCAACAGAAGAAGAAAAUAUUUGAUUGCAAUAUAAUUAAUUUUAGUCUCCAUUUCCUAAAGAGCAAUGAAAUGACAUUAAUUCAGAUCACUUUUUAAACUUUUGCUAUAAAUAAUGAUAUUUGUGUUUAACUGUGUUCAGUUUAUACAAAAAUAUUUCAAUCUUGAUGCAUCUGUGGACUCACCAGUUUUGAAAAUGGUGAGUCCAGACAGAUUUUGAUGAGUCCAGGACGCAUGGACUCGCCUUAGUGAGAACCCUGACGAUAUACAAUGUAUAUGAAAGAAAUGUAUCUUUUUAAUUAACCUCAGGAAACAAUUUUUAUAAAAUAAGGGUAACACCAUUCCCCUGUAUCUAAAAUAAAGAUAAACAAAAAAGUUAAAAAAUAUUUGGUGUCAAAUUGACUAACCAAAUACCAUGGCAUAAUGACUAAUCACUAAAUACAAUGACAUUAUGUACAUGAUGUAGACCAUAUGCUAAUUUGACUGGAUUUUGAUUUGACCUGGUGUUGAUUUUACUCUUUCUAUACAAAUACUGUACAUGUAUGCAACUGGAGAUAAAGGUAGUCUAACUGGUUGAGUUAUGGAAGAACUUCUUAUGCUCAGUCGGUUAAGAUAUAUGUAUUAUUCUGCUGGUAGCACAAUGUACAUUGUACAUGUACAACAAAAUGUAUAAUACAUGUACAUAGUAAAUGCUCGCUGCACAAAAAAAGUUAAAAUACAGUAUUUUAACUUUAUUUGUGCAGCGAGUAUUUACUACUGGCACAUAUAAUUGUUUGUGAGUACCUGAUGCUGGGAGACUAUGGAAGAGUGUUGUAUAACUGGAGAUUUGAAAGUAGUCUUACUUGUUUAGUAAAAGUUGGGGAAGAUCUUCUUUGGAUCAGUUAGUAAUAGCGCUGCUUUUAGAACCCAAGAUUAAGAGUUCAAGUCCCUUUGGUACCAUCUGUGUACAUGUACAUGUUAUUGUACAUUGUAUUGCACAAUAAUGUACACUGCAACCAUAUAGGAUAGGGCAGAUCUGAUUGGAUUGAAGAGAAAAUAUAAAUCAUUUGAAAUGUAACUAAGAAAUUAUGUGAUAUUUAAAAUUUAAGACUGAUCAGUCAGCCAAUUAACCUCAAUUCAUGUACUUGUAACUAUUUUGGUUAGGGGUAUUUAAUUACUAUUAGGGCUUGUUUCUCAUCUUGAAAAUGUAUUUCCAGAAAAAAUGUGUCAUUGAAAAGGAACACAUGAGGUAAAAAUGAUGGUCAAAACGUAGAAUUUUCUCUAUAUCAUGAUCAUGAUGAUGUCUUUCUUGCUGUUUAGAAAAAAAUUACAAGUCAUGAACAUACAAUACAACUGUUUUGGAAGCCAUUACAUGAUCAACAAUAAUAUUAUUAUCUUUAUUUGAUAUUUAAUUAAAGAUUUCAGUACGAAAAUAAUAAAUCAUUAUUAUAUUUUGUGACAUAGUUAAAGAACAAUGUAAUCUUAAAAGGUUAUAAAUCUUUGGGUUUUUUUAACUUUCCAAAUCCUUUAUUCUACAAUGACAUAGUUUAACCCUUAGGGGGUUAUGUAAUGAAAUUCUUUACGCAUAUAGAUCAAAAACUGUUAACAUUAAUUUUUAUUGUUCAACAGGCAACCUGAGGUUAGUUGUUUCUUAAGCUACCAUUUAAUACAAUAUGUACAUAGCUACAAUCAUUGUAAUUUGUAUUUCUUAAAAAAAAAGUAAUUAUCAUUUAAAAAAAAAUAUUUGUAAUGAUUUUUUAUACGGCCGCAAAUUUGUGUUUUUUUUUUUUUGUCUAGACUAAUAUUUAUAAGCUAAUAUACACUGUUUAUAAUAUUCAUUUCAAUUAUAUUAUUCUUCCAUUACAGAAUAGUGAAUAUCACAUUAUGUCCAGGCCCAUCCACCACCCUAUCCAGAGAGAAAGG